rnacentral:rRNA from 1 species
GACGAACGCUGGCGGCGUGCUUAACACAUGCAAGUCGAGCGGUAAGGCUCCUUCGGGAGUACACGAGCGGCGAACGGGUGAGUAACACGUGAGCAAUCUGCCCUUCACAUCGGGAUAGCUUCGGGAAACCGAAGCUAAUACCGAAUACGACCACCGAUGGCAUCUUCUGGUGGUGGAAAGUUCCGGCGGUGAAGGAUGAGCUCGCGGCCUAUCAGCUUGUUGGUGGGAAUGGCCUACCAAGGCGACGACGGGUAGCCGGCCUGAGAGGGUGACCGGCCACACUGGGACUGAGACACGGCCCAGACUCCUACGGGAGGGCGGCAGUGGGGAAGUAUUGGACAAUGGGCGAAAGCCUGAUCCAGCAACGCCGCGUGAGGGAUGACGGCCUGGUGUAAC